GAUGAACGCUGGCUGUGUGCCUAAUACAUGCAUGUCGAGCGGAAGUAGCAAUACUUUAGCGGCGAAUGGGUGAGUAACACGUGCUUAAUCUACCUCUUAGAUUGGAAUACCUAAUGGAAACAUUGGUUAAUGCCGGAUACGCAUGGAGUCGCAUGACUCCGUUGUGAAAGGGGCCUUUAAAGCUCCACUAAGAGAUGAGGGUGCGGAACAUUAGCUAGUUGGUGAGGUAACGGCCCACCAAGGCUAUGAUGUUUAGCCGGGUCGAGAGACUGAACGGCCACAUUGGGACUGAGAUACGGCCCAAACUCCUACGGGAGGCAGCAGUAGGGAAUAUUCCACAAUGAGCGAAAGCUUGAUGGAGCGACACAGCGUGCACGAUGAAGGUCUUAUGGAUUGUAAAGUGCUGUUGCAAGGGAAGAAAAAGUAGUUGAGGAAAUGCUUCUACAUUGACGGUACCUUGUUAGAAAGCGAUGGCUAACUAUGUGCCAGCAGCCGCGGUAAUACAUAGGUCGCAAGCGUUAUCCGGAAUUAUUGGGCGUAAAGCGUUCGUAGGCUGUUUAUUAAGUCUGGAGUCAAAUCCCAGGGCUCAACCCUGGCUCGCUUUGGAUACUGGUAAACUAGAGUUGGAUAGAGGUAAGCGGAAUUCCAUGUGAAACGGUGAAAUGCGUAGAUAUAUGGAAGAACACCAAAGGCGAAGGCAGCUUACUGGGUUUAUACUGACGCUGAGGAACGAAAGCGUGGGGAGCAAACAGG
rnacentral:rRNA from 1 species